rnacentral:rRNA from 1 species
GACGAACGCUGGCGGCGUGCCUAACACAUGCAAGUCGAACGGGGAUAUGAUUUCGGUUGUAUCCUAGUGGCGAACGGGUGAGUAACGCGUGAGCAACCUGUCCUUUUGAGGGGGAUAACACUCGGAAACAGGUGCUAAUACCGCAUAAGACCACGGGUCCGCAUGGACCAGAGGUCAAAGGAGCAAUCCGCAGAAGGAGGGGCUCGCGUCCCAUUAGGUAGAUGGCGGGGUAACGGCCCACCAUGCCAUCGAUGGGUAGCCGAGCUGAGAGGCUGAUCGGCCACACUGGAACGGGGACUCGGGCCAGACUCCUACGGGAGGCAGCAGUGGGGAAUAUUGGGCAAUGGGCGAAAGCCUGACCCAGCAACGCCGCGUGAGGGAAGAAGGCCUUCGGGUUGUAAACCUCUGUCCUUGGUGACGAAAAAAAUGACGGUAGCCAAGGAGGAAGCCCCGGCUAACUACGUGCCAGCAGCCGCAGUAA